rnacentral:lncRNA from 1 species
NCUGUUUCACUAAGCCUCUUUUCGAGGUAGUACUCAGAUCGUUACGCCUUUCGUGCGAGUCGAAACUUACCCGAUAAGGAAUUUUGCUACCUUAGGACUGUUAUAGUUACAGUCGCAAUUCACCAGGGCUUUGGUCGUCGACUCCUCUAUUAUCAGGUCACCAACUUCUUUGACCUUUCGGCAGUGGGCAGGCGCCAGCCCCAUACAUGGUCUUAUGACUUUGCGAAGACAUGUGUUUUUCGUAAACAGUCACCCGGGCCUGGUCACUGCAAACCCCUUUGUAAGGAGGCACCCCUUCUCUAGAAGUUACAAGGAUAUUUUGGCAAGUUCCUUAAAGAGAGUUAUCUCGCACCCCUAGGUAUUCUCUUCCUACCCACCUGUGUCGAUUUCGGGUAUAGGUACCCUUUUGUUUAAAGGUCGUUCGAGCUUUUCCUAGUAGUAUGGCAUGGGUUACUUCAGCACUGUAGCCCCUGGUGCUCAAACAUUGGCUCGAGGCAUUUUCUCCACCCCUUCUUACCCUGAAAUAACAGGGGCACCUUACGUUCUCGAAUCGAUAACCAGCUUUUAGCUAACCUAGCAUCUUCCAUCCAUCGGGACCAACAAGGGAUAGUAUAGGAAUAUUCACUUGUUGUCCAUCGACUAUGCCUUUCAUCCUGAUCUUAGGCCCUAACUCACGUGGGGGCUUCCUUCUAAGGUGGAACACUCCCCUACCGAUGUAUAUUUACAUCCCAAAGCUUCAACAAAUCGCUUAGUCCCAUUCAUCUUCGACGUAAGAGUGCUAGAUCAGUGAGCUAUUACACACUUUUUCAAGUGUGGCUGCUUUUAGGCAAACCUCCUAGCUAUCUCUACACCCCUAUCUCUUUUAUCACUGAGCGAUCAUUUAGGAACCUUAGCUGGUUAUCUAGUCUGUUUCCCUCUCGAUGAUGAAGCUUAUCCCCCAUCGUCUCACUGGCUGACCUUAACCCCAGUUAUUUUGAGGUCAUAUCUAGUAUUCAAAGUUUGCCUCAAUUUGGUACCGGUCUCAUAGUCUGCAUCGAAACAGUGCUUUAUCCCAAGAUGUUGAGUCAACUGUUGCGUCUCAAUGCAUUUCGGGGAGAAAUGGCUAGCUCUGGGUUUGAGUGGUAUUUUAGCCCUAACCACAACUCAUAUGCUGAUUCUUCAACAUCAGUUGGUUUGGAACUCCAUUUAGUUUCACUCGAGCUUCAUCUUGGUUAUGAAUAGAUCACCUAGGUUUGGGUCCAUAAGUAGUGACAAUUUCCCUAUGAAGACUUACUUUUGCUAUGGCUCCAAUGGGUUCCCUUAACCAAGCUACUACCUAUGAGUCGUCGACUCAUUCUUCAACAGGCACACGAUCAGAGACUUGGCUCCUCCCAUUGCUUGGGAGCUUUUCACCCUUCCCUCAUGGUACUACUUUGCUAUCGGUCACCCAAGAGUAUUUAGCCUUGUAAUGUGGUCCUUGCUAAUUCACACGAGAUUCCACGUCUCCCAUGUAACUCGGGUCAGAGCGUAAGCUAGUGAUGCUUUUGGCUACUAGACUUUUGCCAUCUAGGAUGUAGCAUUUCUGCUGCUUCGCCUAGCAGCAUGACACUUGUAUUGCUCUCUCACAACUUCAUUUUCAUGAUUUAGGCUGCUCCCGUUUUGCUCGCCACUACAACUGGAAUCGCUUUUGCUUUCUUUUCCUCUAGGUACUAAGAUGUUUCAGUUAGCCACGUUGUCUCUUACCUAUGCAUGGCUUCAACAGUAGUUUGAAAGGUUUCUCUAUUCGGGAAUCUCCAAAUCUAUGCUUAUUUUCAACUCCCCGAAGCAUUUCGUCGAUUACUACGCCCUUCCUCGUCUCUAGGUCCUUAGGUAUCCACCGUAAGCCUUUCCUCAUUUGAACAUCGCCCUUCUAAGGCUAUGCCAUCCUAAGGUAUGGCUAAAUGGAUGGAUCUUAUCAUUUCCAUGAAUGAUAAAUCAUAGAUCGAAUCACCGAAUUAGAAAAAUUGGGUGCUAUCAUAUAGCUUUGUAUCGGCUAAGUUCAUGAGUUGGAGAUAAGCGAACUCGAAACUCUGACAUCCGUUGUAGGAUAAAUCACCACCUCUCAGGCCCCUCGAUUGAUUCUACCAUUGAGGCCGACGAUAGACAAUAACUUCCCUCGAACACAGCUUACAACUUUCAUCGUACUAUGCUCUAUCUCACUUAAAAGGUGCUGAGUUGGAAUCCCAUUCUAACUAAGGAUUCUUAUGGUUCCAGAGGUUUUAGCUAUAGGAAAACCAACGAAGAGCAUUCCUCCCUUUCCUCCCGACUCUUUGGCCUUAAGAAUGCUGGUUUUAAGAAAGAGUGAUUGUCCUUCUCUGACCCUUACUGCCUAACCUGAGAGCAGACAGCUAAUGCAUUCCACUUAUU